GCUUUUGGUUCAGUGGUAGAAUGCUCGCCUGCCACGCGGGCGCCCCGCGUUCCCCGAUUCCCGGCCGAUGCA